GGGCGGUGGCGAGGACGUCUCGGGACCUCCACUCCGCGGCUGCAGUGUCGGGAUCCUGACUUCGCUCCCUAGUGCCUUCCGCACAGCGGAAGUCUCGGUUUAUCUGGAGUUAAUUCUACUUAGGAGUCAGCUAAGCACUUCCUGUUGUACCUACAAAUGCAAGCCACCAGAGCCAGGUAAUCAAGGAGUGUCCUCUGAGGUUCAACCACAAAAACUGGGACACCAGAUGUGUACACAAGCUCCUUUCUGGGAGAUACUGCUGAUCUGGAGUUGAGGCAGAGAGAAAGCUGAAAGAUGUACCCACCGGGCCCUCUGGUAUCUGGAGAGUAUUAUGUCAGCACCCAGAUAUGUUUUAAAUUAGAAGCCUACCCAUCAGCCCAAAGCUUUGAAGAUAAGCAAAAAGUCUGUAGUGGUCACCUUCAGAGAUACUGAGGCAGAGGUAAGACAGGCACCUCCCCCACGGGCAGUGGAGGUGUGAAUUGGUACAGUUUUUCUGAAGUUAAUUUGACAGAUGUUAUCAAGAACCUUAAAUUGUUCAAACUCUGACCUAAUUCAACUUCUAGGUUCCUUGCUGUAGGAAUAAUCAGAAAUAUGGACAGUGAUUUAUAUACAAAGAUACUGAUCACAGCAUUAUUCAUAGGGUUUAUAAAUAAGAAAAUCAUUACAUUAAUCAGGAUAUGGUUAUAUAGGACAGCCAUUUACAUACUGCUUACAGAUAAUUUUAAAUGACAUAAGAAGGUGUCCAUAAUAUUUUACUGAAUUAAAGAGGAGACUAAACUCUAUAAACAUGAUACUGUCGCAACUAUAUAAAAAUAUCACCAUAUUUGGAGAAAAAGAAUGAAAAACAGGCAAACAUUAACAGGUUAUCUGGAUGUGAGAAGAAUGCAUGCUAUUCUUCUGUUUCUCCCUGUGUCUUCAAGUUUUCUAUGAUGUAUACUCUCUCCUAAAAUAUAGUAAGUACAUUUAGAGACAGAAAAAAUUAUUUUUCAAAGGGAAUAAGUGGCCUUUUGAGUGAUUUCAAAACCUGUCACUCUGUUGACUGUGGCUGAGCUUUCUGCCUUCCCAGUUUGCUGCCUUGUGCUGGUGGCCAGAGUGGGGAAACCCUACGGCGUCAUUUCCCAGAGUCAGGGUAACUGUGUCUGAUUCACUUUCCUUUUUAACCUUUGAUUAAGAUUGAGAAAAGGUCUCAACUUCAUUUUAGACAGUAGUAAAUAAUCUGCAGGACUGAACAAACCUCCCUGAAUGUAGGUCGUCUACUUUUCUUCUUCAAGAUUUUCCUUCUCCCUUCCUUUAUUCUAUG